GCGUGGGAAAGUUCUUUGGGUGGGGCAAAUUUUUAUUUAGGGACCCCACCCGCCGCUCAGGGGUGGGGGCCGGGGGGAAGGACAUUAAAAACAGCCCAAUUUUUAUUUAUGGCCCCCACCCACCGCUCAGGGGUGGAGGGCCGGGAGGGGGAGGACAGUAGGUCAUAAGGGCCCCCCAAUUUUUAUUUAUGGCCCCCACCCACUGCUCAGGGGUAGG